UACGGAGGGGGCUAGCGUUGUUCGGAAUCAUUGGGCGUAAAGGGCGCGUAGGCGGGCCGCCGCGUCCGGGGUGAAAUCCUCCCGCUCAACGGGAGAACGGCCUCGGAUACGGGCGGCCUGGAGGGGGGUAGGGGCGUGCGGAACUGUGGGUGGAGCGGUGAAAUGCGUUGAUAUCCACAGGAACUCCGGUGGCGAAGGCGGCACGCUGGACCCCACCUGACGCUGAGGCGCGAAAGCCAGGGGAGCGAACGGG
rnacentral:rRNA from 1 species